GGAUCGCCCUUCCUACGGGAGGCAGCAGUGGGGAAUUUUGGACAAUGGGCGAAAGCCUGAUCCAGCAAUGCCGCGUGCAGGAUGAAGGCCUCCGGGUUGUAAACUGCUUUUGUACGGAACGAAACGGUCCCUUCUAAUAAAGGGGGCUAAUGACGGUACCGUAAGAAUAAGCACCGGCUAACUACGUGCCAGCAGCCGCGGUAAUAAGGGCGAUCCC
rnacentral:rRNA from 1 species